AACCCUUGAGCAAUGACAAGUACCUGCCAAACACUGUUGUGAAAACCUCUCUCCUGGGAAAACAAAAGGUCAUGACAUUUUGAGCACAAUUGUGUGUGGGAUGCAUUCAUCAAUAGAGUUGGAAGCACCAACCACCAUAGGAAGAGGAAACUUUUAGUUACAAGCACAUGAAUAAAUAAAAUCAAACUCAACUGGAAUGACGUUCCCGAGGAUGGAGAUACAUUUUUUUGUUGACCCAUCUAAACUUGAACAGCAAGUGAUAAUCAGCCUCCAAUCAGAAAGUCCCAAGGACUUAUAGGAGCAGAAAUCAGAAGACUUUACUCCACAAACUUCAGGUGGACAUGUGGACAAAGCCAUCUGAGAACAUGACAAAAAUACAGCAAGAGCAGAGACAAGAUCAGAUCAUCCUGGGGGCAGAUGCUGGGCUCUGACCAAUUUGAGAGAGAAAAGGAAAAAGAACCCAGCUACAAGAUGCACAAGUAGCAGGCCACAGCCACCAACAUCAGCAGAACAAUUGGAGGCCAGGAAGACAAGGACACUUCUGAAGAGACUGAAAAAAGCAGAAGACAGUCCAAGUCACUGCAAGAUUCCAAGGUCUCUUUUUUCAUUACUGUUACAAGUACCAAGUAAGCCAAAAUCCACCCUACUCUUCAAAACCAUCUUGAAGAGUUGCAGGUCAGGGUUGCUGCAUCUGAGCAUGUUUACUCACAAAAGGUGUAUUUAUAUUUUUACUUCACACUAAGCUUUGAAACUGAAAUUUAGAAGUCAGAGGAGGAGGGCAACAUGGAGCAGAGGAGGAAGAAGGAGAGAAAAAGCAAGAAACCAUUAUCACUCCCUCAUCUGAACUGCACUGCGAGUAAGCUGGGGCUUCCACCACAGUGUCCUGGAAGCCAUGUUUGCUGCCCAUUUCUGGAC
rnacentral:lncRNA from 1 species